GUGUUCAUUCAAUAAAUAUAAACGAGGAGUUGGUGCUCAUUCAACAAAUAUAAACAAGGAAGAGUUGCAAGUGAUAGAACCUUCAAAGUCUUGCAUCGACCGGAUAAACAACAGUGUUCAGUG